CCGAAACGUUACAAAACGAACCACUGUGAACCGUCCUUUUAGCUGUCUCGGCGGGCGAUCCCAGGGCGGGAUCCCGGGCUCCUUUAGGGGUGUUCGCCGGCGGCCACUUUUCAAGCUCUGAUUCCAGCGGGCUUCUGAGUGUAAAAGAAACAGUCA
rnacentral:misc_RNA from 1 species